rnacentral:rRNA from 1 species
UACGAAGGGGGCUAGCGUUGUUCGGAUUUACUGGGCGUAAAGCGCGUGUAGGCGGGUCGUUAAGUUGGGGGUGAAAUCCCGAGGCUCAACCUCGGAACUGCCUUCAAAACUGGCGACCUGGAGCAAGAUAGAGGCAAGUGGAAUUGCGAGUGUAGAGGUGAAAUUCGUAGAUAUUCGCAGGAACACCAGUGGCGAAGGCGGCUCACUGGCUCGAUACUGACGCUGAGGUGCGAAAGCGUGGGGAGCAAACAGG